rnacentral:rRNA from 1 species
UUGAUAUUAUAAUAAGUAAAACCUGCCCAAUGAAAUUUUAAUGGCCGCAGAACCUUAACUGUGCUAAGGUAGCAUAAUGAUUUGCCUUAUAAUUAAAGGCUAGAAUGAAAGGUUAACCAAAGGGUUACUUUAUUAAUUAAACUUCUUAAAAUUUACCUUUAAGUAAAAAGGCUUAAAUUUUUUAGAAAGACGACAAGACCCUGUCGAACUUUACUCUAAGUUUAGCUGGGGCGGCAAGAAACCAAAUCUUUUUUCUAUUCUAUAUUUUAUCUAUAAUCUAUAAUUACCAAGUUACCGCAGGGAUAACAGCACAAUUUUUUUUAAAAGACCUUAUUUAAAAAAAAGAUUAUGACCUCGAUGUUGAAUUAUUAUACUAGUAGGGGAAGAACUUUACUAAGUAGGUCUGUUCGACCUUUAAAAAUUU